CUCUCCUUUGUGGAGUUUUUCCUGUAAACCUAGAUCUUUGGAUACAGGAUGCUGAAAUCCGUUGUGCAGAGGGCACCUGAGAAGGAAAUUCGGAUCCCUUUUUUCUUUGUUUUGAAUGGCUAACUGGCUGCCAGAGAUGGGGAUCAGAGCAGAACUGUGUCAGAAUUGCUACUCGAGAGGCACAUUUGUUUUCCAGAGAGCAAUUCAGCUGGGCCUUGAUUCUUCAUUUCUGUGUGUUGGAUUCAAUCACCGAAGCAGCGCAAAGCAGGAUUACAAUUGUACCAAAUCAAAGCGGACAGACUUCAUGUUAAAAUUUGCUGCUGCAAAUGGCUGCAUGCAGCCCACAGGAAGGCAGGUCCACUUGUUGGUUUUCCUGAGGGCCCUACAGAGAGAAACAAUUUUUGAUCAUUUCUUGCAUACAUCAAACUGUACCCUUGGAAGAUAUUCAGG
ensembl:lncRNA